rnacentral:rRNA from 1 species
UAAGGCUAAAUACUGGUGGGAGACCGAUAGCAAACAAGUACCGUGAGGGAAAGUUUAAAAGCACUUUGAAAAGAGAGUGAAAAGAACCUGAAACCGUUACGUAGAAAAGGAACUGCAGCAGAGUGAAGGGCGCUUUCUGUUCAGCCUAGUUUUCUAGGUGUACUCAGGAAUGUUUUGCCCGCCAGCCGUGAGCUUCUGAUGGUCGAUUUUCGACUUUCAGGGGUGGAGGGCUCCCUUUCGAGGUGAGGACGUGCUGGAUAAUGCUGCGAUUCCACCCGUCUUGAAACACGGACCAAGAAGUGGAGCAUAUAUGCGAGUCGAAGGGUGUUUAAACCUGAUGGCGCAGUGAAAGCGACUGUAGAACUUGCAGUUUGCGGCGGCAUACGAUCUUUGAUCGUAGGUCCGACCUAGAGCAUAUAUGCUCCGACCCGAAAGAUGGUGAACUAUACUUGGGUAGGGUGAAGCCAGGAGAAAUCCUGGUGGAAGCUCGUAGCGGUGCUGACGUGCAAAUCGCUCGUCCAACCUGAGUAUAGGGGCGAAAGACUAAUCGAACCAUCUGGUAGCUGGUUUCCUCCGAAGUUUCUCUCAGGAUAGCGGACCAAAAUAAUGUUGUUAUGCGCGGUAAAGCGAAUGAUUAGCGUUUUGGGGGAAUUCUUUUCCUCCUGGCGAUUCUCAAACUUUAAAUGCGCAUGGAGGGUGCUGCUUCGGUGAGCGCUCUCGUUAAAAACAUUUGGUUCCGUGGGCCACUUUUGGUAAGC